AACGAACGCUGGCGGCAUGCCUAACACAUGCAAGUCGAACGAGACCUUCGGGUCUAGUGGCGCACGGGUACGUAACGCGUGGGAACCUGCCCUUAGGUUCGGAAUAACUCCCCGAAAGGGGUGCUAAUACCGGAUAAUGUCUUCGGACCAAAGAUUUAUCGCCUUUGGAUGGGCCCGCGUUGGAUUAGCUAGUUGGUAGGGUAAAAGCCUACCAAGGCGACGAUCCAUAGCUGGUCUGAGAGGAUGAUCAGCCACACUGGGACUGAGACACGGCCCAGACUCCUACGAGAGGCAGCAGUGGGGAAUAUUGGACAAUGGGCGAAAGCCUGAUCCAGCAAUGCCGCGUGAGUGAUGAAGGCCUUAGGGUUGUAAAGCUCUUUUACCCGGGAUGAUAAUGACAGUACCGGGAGAAUAAGCUCCGGCUAACUCCGUG
rnacentral:rRNA from 1 species